rnacentral:tRNA from 1 species
CCCCGCUUAGCUCAACGGCAGAGUGUUCGGCUGUAGCCCGAAAGGUUGCUGGUUCAAAUCCGGCAGCGGGGA